rnacentral:lncRNA from 1 species
GCCAGAGAUGACCACGCUGGAACCAAGGACAUCGACCUCUCGCAGGAACGCCGGACACAAACAGAAGCCACAUGGGGCACCCCGGCCUACGUGUGCACAAAACGCCGGGCCUGCCGAGGACAGAGACGUGCACCUCCCACCUCCACGCCAGCUCUGCUUUGUAGAACGUUGUAGCAUCCAGACAGUGAGCGGCAGUGACCAGUUCCUGUCCUUUCCACGGUUGCUGAGGCGUCGCUGACACACAGCCCUGUGUGAGUGUAGGGCGUGCAGCGUCAUGGCUUGCAGAGCCCAAGGGACUGCCAAGAUGAGGUCACUGACCAUUCGUCAUCGCACAGAAGUACAAAACAGAAAACACAAGGUUUUUUGUCUUUGUGAUGAGAACUUUUACAAUUUACUCUGUUAGCAACCACGAGCAUACCAUCCAGCUGUGUUAACUCUAGUCAUCAGAUGUACGUCCCAUCACUCAUACUUAUUUAUUGUGUAAUGGGGAGCUGGACAUUCGUACCUUGGCCCACCUUCUUCUGGUUCUCCCGCACCCCCAGCCCCUGCCUCUGGUAGGUACAGCUCGGAUCUCCUUCUGCACGUUUUUUUUUUUUAAAUUUUUUUUUAUUGCCCAUAAAAGUGAGAUUGUACAGUACUAAUCUUUUUCUGCCUGACUUAUUUCACUUAGUAUAAUGCCCUCAAGGUCCACGUUGUUGCAAAUGACAGCAUUUCCCUUUUUUAUAAUGCCUAAACAUCUGUCUGUCUAUCUAUCUAUCUAUCUAUCUAUCUAUCAUCUAUCUCUAUAAGAGAGAGAGAAAGAGAGAGAUACCACUUUAUCCACUCGUCUGUUGAUGGACACGUAGGUUGUUUCCACGCCCUGGCUGCCGUGAAUAAUGCUGCACUGAACAUGGUGAUACAGACAUCUUCAGCAUGAAUUUCAUUUCCUUUUGAUAUAUACUCAGCAGUGGAAUUUCUAGCUCAUAUGGUAGCUCUAUUUUUAAUUUUUUGAGGAACUUCCCUCCUGUUUUCCCUAGUGGGUGUACUAACUUACAAUUCCACCAACACUGCACAAGGUUCACCAGUUUCUUAACACUGGAAAGUCUCUCUCCACUCCCCCUGCCCUUU